CGGAGGGGGCUAGCGUUUGUUCGGAAUUACUGGGCGUAAAGGGCGCGCAGGCGGCUGCUCAAGUCAGGCGUGAAAGGCCUGGGCUCAACCCGGGAAUUGCGCUUGAGACUGGGCUGGCUUGAGUGCGGGAGAGGAUGGUGGAAUUCCCAGUGUAGAGGUGAAAUUCGUUGAUAUUGGGAAGAACACCGGUGGCGAAGGCGGCCAUCUGGACCGCAACUGACGCUGAGGCGCGAAAGCGUGGGGAGCAAACAGGAUUAGAUACCCUGGUAGUCCACGCCGUAAACGAUGAGUGCUAGACGUUGGGAAGCCUAGCUUUCCGGUGUCGCAGCUAACGCAUUAAGCACUCCGCCUGGGGAGUACGGCCGCAAGGUUA
rnacentral:rRNA from 1 species